UGGUGAACUGUAAUCCCAAGUGAGC
rnacentral:piRNA from 1 species